GAUGAACGCUAGCUACAGGCUUAACACAUGCAAGUCGAGGGGAAACGGCAUCGAAAGCUUGCUUUUGAUGGGCGUCGACCGGCGCACGGGUGAGUAACGCGUAUCCAACCUGCCCAUCACUUGGGAAUAACCUUGCGAAAGUAAGACUAAUGCCCAAUGACAUCCCACGAAGGCAUCCGAAUGGGAUUAAAGAUUUAUCGGUGAUGGAUGGGGAUGCGUCUGAUUAGCUUGUUGGCGGGGUGACGGCCCACCAAGGCAACGAUCAGUAGGGGUUCUGAGAGGAAGGUCCCCCACAUUGGAACUGAGACAAGGUCCAAACUCCUACGGGAGGCAGCAGUGAGGAAUAUUGGUCAAUGGGCGAGAGCCUGAACCAGCCAAGUAGCGUGCAGGAUGACGGCCCUAUGGGUUGUAAACUGCUUUUAUAAGGGAAUAAAGUGGGUCACGUGUGACUUUUUGCAUGUACCUUAUGAAUAAGGACCGGCUAAUUCCGUG
rnacentral:rRNA from 1 species